GACGAACGCUGGCGGCGUGCCUAAUACAUGCAAGUAGAACGCUGAAGGAGGAGCUUGCUCUUCUGGAUGAGUUGCGAACGGGUGAGUAACGCGUAGGUAACCUGCCUGGUAGCGGGGGAUAACUAUUGGAAACGAUAGCUAAUACCGCAUAAGAGUAGAUGUUGCAUGACAUUUGCUUAAAAGGUGCAAUUGCAUCACUACCAGAUGGACCUGCGUUGUAUUAGCUAGUUGGUGGGGUAACGGCUCACCAAGGCGACGAUACAUAGCCGACCUGAGAGGGUGAUGGGCCACACUGAGAACGAGACAAGGCCCAGACGCCUACAGGAGGCAGCAGUAGGGAAUCUUCGGCAAUGGACGGAAGUCUGAACGAGCAACGCCGCGUGAGUGAAGAAGGUUUUCGGAUCGUAAAGCUCUGUUGUAAGAGAAGAACGAGUGUGAGAGUUGAAAGUUCACACUGUGACGGUAUCUUACCAGAAAGGGACGGCUAACUACGUG
rnacentral:rRNA from 1 species